rnacentral:lncRNA from 14 species
AGGUACAGCAUUUGGAGGCUCUGAAUUGUAGGGGCGAUUCACUACAUCACAUUACAUACGCUGGUAGGGUGGUCCUACAAGUCACUGAUUCUAAGCAGGGCUCAAGAGAUGGACAGUGGCUUGGACAGUCCUGAAUAAAGUGGUGGCAGCUGUGAAUGAAGGAGAUGCGGGG